UACAGAGGGUGCGAGCGUUGUCCGGAAUCACUGGGCGUAAAGGGCGCGUAGGCGGCCUGAUAAGUAGGGGGUGAAAUCUUGCGGCUCAACCGCAAGGCUGCCUUCUAAACUGUCAGGCUGGAGCACGGUAGAGGCAGAUGGAAUUCCCGGUGUAGCGGUGGAAUGCGUAGAGAUCGGGAAGAACACCAGUGGCGAAGGCGGUCUGCUGGGCCGUUGCUGACACUGAGGCGCGACAGCGUGGGGAGCAAACAGG
rnacentral:rRNA from 1 species